CCCCAGUAAACGGCGGCCGUAACUAUAACGGUCCUAAGGUAGCGAAAUUCCUUGUCGGGUAAGUUCCGACCCGCACGAAAGGCGUAACGAUUUGGGCACUGUCUCAACAACAGACUCGGUGAAAUUGUAAUUCCGGUGAAGAUGCCGGAUACCUGCGACAGGACGGAAAGACCCCAUGGAGCUUUACUGUAGCUUGACAUUGGGUCUUGGUACUACAUGUACAGGAUAGGUGGGAGGCUUUGAAACCAGGACGCCAGUUUUGGCGGAGCCAUCCUUGGGAUACCACCCUUGUAGUACUGGGACUCUAACCAUAGGCCAUGAAUCUGGUCUUGGGACACUGUCAGGUGGGCAGUUUGACUGGGGCGGUCGCCUCCCAAAAGGUAACGGAGGCGCUCAAAGGUUCUCUCAGUACGGUCGGAAAUCGUACGUAGAGUGUAAAGGCAAAAGAGAGCUUGAUUGCAAGACAUACAGGUCGAGCAAGGAUGAAAAUCGGACUUAGUGAUCCGGUGGUUCUGCGUGGAAGGGCCAUCGCUCAACGGAUAAAAGCUACCCUGGGGAUAACAGGCUUAUCUCCCCCAAGAGUCCACAUCGACGGGGAUGUUUGGCACCUCGAUGUCGGCUCAUCACAUCCUGGGGCUGUAGUAGGUCCCAAGGGUUGGGCUGUUCGCCCAUUAAAGUGGUACGCGAGCUGGGUUCAGAACGUCGUGAGACAGUUCGGUCCCUAUCCGUC
rnacentral:rRNA from 1 species